AAAUCCUGCAACUUCAUGCAGUUGCUUCUCCCUUUUCUCUGCAUCCCCUGUGUCCUGGUGGUGUGCAACUGUACCCAGGGCCCCCAACACACUAGAUAUUGACACACCCUAAUGGUGUUCAGCUGGAUGGUGGCCAGCCCAGAUGAGAAUUGGAGGUCAGUGGCACCAUGCAUUUGGCCCAUGAUGUUUGAGGGAUUGCAGAAGAUAAGGGGAGGUCCACAAGUGAUUUUACCUUCAAGAGAGUUGAGGGAAGAUGGGCACUCAGAGGAAGGCUGAACCUAAGGUAGAGGGGGAGGGGCCACACUGCCAUACCAGGACACAUGUCUGGUUUUAUCUCAUUGCCAGGCACACACCUUGGUGCAUGACAGUCUCUGUGAAUGUCUUAACAAAGGAAGACAAGGUCAUACUAGCCCCCAAACACACCUAGGCCAGCUGAUGACAUGUGACCAACGGACUAAAACCAGCCUCUCUUUCCCUCUUAUGACACUUCCCUCACAUGGCCCAUCCCCAAACCACACAAAAGCUGCCACAGCUGCAGAAUCAGAUACCUUUCCAACUGCUCUUGUCCUGCUGGGUGGCAACUAGACUGUGGUGACUGCCAGGGGAUGUUCGUGCCUGGUGACCCCCUAAAACAGCUGCAGGUGGACCAUACAAGGAGAGACAGAAGUAGAUGAGGAGGGGAACAAUACAAUGGAAUGAGGACCUGUGAUGGCUAGGGCAACUGGAUCUUUAGAUCUUUGGCUGGUAACAAAGAUGUUUUAUCCAUAUCAAGGCUUUAGCCAACUCUCCCUAUCCUCAGCAACUGAGUUGUAAUGAAGUAGUGAGAACCCUGAAGCUCUGGAAGGAGAGUGUGCGAAUGGGUGCUCCCUGGCUCAAAAGUGAGCCUCUGGAAAAGGCACUGGAGAAACUGGUCAGUCUGGGUAGAGGUAGUUAGCAAGAAAGCUAUGGCAUUUCCAAGUGACAUCACAGGUAGUGUCUUCCCUGGAAAUUCUCUUGUAUCCAGGAGAACACUAGAAUCUUCUGUGAUGUCACCAGUGUUGUGGUGACACCAACUACCUGUGCCUAUCCCUUCAGUGCCUAAUGGUUUCAGAAGCAGGCAUGUUCUCAAGGCUGCUCAGUCUAUUUCAGAGGGACAAUCAUAUACGUGCAGAGACCAGACCAAGGCAGAAGGAGGCCAGACUUCUAUCAUGUUGGAGAAUAAGACGAAUGGAAUGAUCCUGGAGAAGGUGAAGUUCAGAGACAGAAGAUAAAAUAUCGAUUGGAUUUGUCUAUAUGGAAUUUCUAUAAUAAUUCCAAAGUCUUUAUCGUUUUAGAAAAGAUGAUCCAUCCAGUCAGUGGGAUGAAGAGCCGUGUCCCAGAGCCCCAUCAGUAGUGCUGAAGAGGACUCUGGUUUCUCCAUGUCUACCUGUACACACAGUCAUGAGGACCAGACUUCUAGUCAAUCAGUCUCUCGGGCUUAAACUAUAGAUCGAUCUCUUUCUUAGCACUCUCCACUGAAUCACUGCCAUGAAUGAUGUUCUUGCCAACCAGAAUGCAGAAAUCCCCACAAAUGGUGCCUGGUUUCGAAACAGCUGGAUCGGUUUGCCCCCGCAUCACCUGUUUUCACCACAUUGAGCCCCUCCCACACCACUGCCGCUAUAGGCCCUGAGUUCAUGUACUUCUCUAGCCUAGAGAAGAAAGGACGGUUUUCAGGCCAGUGUACUGCUGCUUCAGGUGUUCUUCAGAAGCCCGAAGGAAGUUCAUGGCGGCCAGGCAGAACCCCUCCUUCUGGAAUCCUUUGAUGAUCUCGCUCAUCAGGUGGCGCUGCACCCCAUCUGGCUUGAUGGCAAGGAAGAUAAGCUCGAAGUUGGUCACAGUCCGAAAGCUGGUGGGUGGGCUGGUGCCUGCUAUGAGCAAUGGAAGCAAAAAGACUAGAACGACCACCAGCCAGCGUGGGGAGAGGGCACUGAUCUAUUUAUUUUAUUGUUUUGAAGUAGAGUCCCUUUUGCCCAACUUGAAUCUUGGGUUUCAGUGACUCUUCUCUUUCAAUGUUCUGAG
rnacentral:lncRNA from 1 species